rnacentral:rRNA from 1 species
CAGGCUUAACACAUGCAAGUCGAGGGGCAGCAUGGUCUUAGCUUGCUAAGGCCGAUGGCGACCGGCGCACGGGUGAGUAACACGUAUCCAACCUGCCGUCUACUCUUGGACAGCCUUCUGAAAGGAAGAUUAAUACAAGAUGGCAUCAUGAGUCCGCAUGUUCACAUGAUUAAAGGUAUUCCGGUAGACGAUGGGGAUGCGUUCCAUUAGAUAGUAGGCGGGGUAACGGCCCACCUAGUCUUCGAUGGAUAGGGGUUCUGAGAGGAAGGUCCCCCACAUUGGAACUGAGACACGGUCCAAACUCCUACGGGAGGCAGCAGUGAGGAAUAUUGGUCAAUGGGCGAGAGCCUGAACCAGCCAAGUAGCGUGAAGGAUGACUGCCCUAUGGGUUGUAAACUUCUUUUAUAAAGGAAUAAAGUCGGGUAUGGAUACCCGUUUGCAUGUACUUUAUGAAUAAGGAUCGGCUAACUCCGUGCCAGCAGCCGCGGUAAUACGGAGGAUCCGAGCGUUAUCCGGAUUUAUUGGGUUUAAAGGGAGCGUAGAUGGAUGUUUAAGUCAGUUGUGAAAGUUUGCGGCUCAACCGUAAAAUUGCAGUUGAUACUGGAUAUCUUGAGUGCAGUUGAGGCAGGCGGAAUUCGUGGUGUAGCGGUGAAAUGCUUAGAUGUCACGAAGAACUCCGAUUGCGAAGGCAGCCUGCUAAGCUGCAACUGACAUUGAGGCUCGAAAGUGUGGGUAUCAAACAGGAUUAGAUACCCUGGUAGUCCACACGGUAAACGAUGAAUACUCGCUGUUUGCGAUAUACAGCAAGCGGCCAAGCGAAAGCGUUAAGUAUUCCACCUGGGGAGUACGCCGGCAACGGUGAAACUCAAAGGAAUUGACGGGGGCCCGCACAAGCGGAGGAACAUGUGGUUUAAUUCGAUGAUACGCGAGGAACCUUACCCGGGCUUAAAUUGCAGAUGAAUUACGGUGAAAGCCGUAAGCCGCAAGGCAUCUGUGAAGGUGCUGCAUGGUUGUCGUCAGCUCGUGCCGUGAGGUGUCGGCUUAAGUGCCAUAACGAGCGCAACCCUUGUUGUCAGUUACUAACAGGUUCCGCUGAGGACUCUGACAAGACUGCCAUCGUAAGAUGUGAGGAAGGUGGGGAUGACGUCAAAUCAGCACGGCCCUUACGUCCGGGGCUACACACGUGUUACAAUGGGGGGUACAGAGGGCCGCUACCACGCGAGUGGAUGCCAAUCCCCAAAACCUCUCUCAGUUCGGACUGGAGUCUGCAACCCGACUCCACGAAGCUGGAUUCGCUAGUAAUCGCGCAUCAGCCACGGCGCGGUGAAUACGUUCCCGGGCCUUGUACACACCGCCCGUCAAGCCAUGGGAGCCGGGGGUACCUGAAGUGCGUAACCGCGAGGAGCGCCCUAGGGUAAAACUGGUG